CGUGUGACGAUUCCGUUCCCGGCUCAGUAAUAUUCUCCCAGUCGGGCUGUGCAUAGCUUUUGCAGUGUCUGUGUGUGUUUGUUACUGUAGUUACUGCCUAUAGUUUGGUUAGCUAUGGAAGGAGACGGGAGUCAAGUUACAUCUGGAAGCCCAAAUGAUUCACAACAUGACCCGGGUAAAAUGUUUAUUGGUGGCCUCAGCUGGCAAACCUCACCAGACAGCCUUAGAGACUAUUUUAGCAAAUUCGGAGAAAUAAGAGAAUGUAUGGUGAUGAGAGACCCCACAACAAAACGUUCCAGAGGAUUUGGAUUCGUUACGUUUGCAGAUGCUGCCAGUGUAGAUAAAGUCUUAGCUCAACCACACCACGAAUUAGACUCAAAGACGAUUGAUCCUAAGGUUGCCUUCCCCCGACGCGCUCAACCCAAGAUGGUCACAAGAACAAAGAAAAUAUUCGUGGGCGGAUUGUCAGCCAACACAGUGGUGGAAGAUGUGAAGCAGUAUUUUGAACAGUUUGGGAAGGUAGAAGACGCCAUGCUUAUGUUUGAUAAAACUACUAACAGACAUAGAGGAUUUGGCUUCAUAACUUUCGAGGGCGAAGACGUCGUAGAGAAAGUCUGUGAAAUUCAUUUUCAUGAAAUCAAUAAUAAAAUGGUAGAAUGUAAGAAGGCCCAGCCCAAGGAGGUGAUGUUCCCACCAGGCACACGAGGGAGGGCCAGGGGCCUGCCCUACACCAUGGAUGCCUUCAUGCUGGGGAUGGGCAUGCUGAGUUACCCGAACAUUGUGGCAACAUACGGUCGUGGAUACACUGGAUUCACCCCCAGUUACAGCUAUCAGUUCCCUGGUUUCCCGGCGACGGCGUACGGACCGGUGGCGGCAGCGGCGGUGGCAGCAGCGCGUGGCUCAGGUAGGGGGGCCCGAGGAAAAGGCGGCUACAUGGCGUACCCGCAGAACACAGGGCCAGGCUUUCACGAUUACGGGUUUUACUCUGCGCCCAGUGACCAGAGGGGGGCGCCCUGCUCCUUUGCGGACUAUGGCUCCCUGGGGCCCCAGGCGGCUCAGAUGCUGCACAGUGAGCAUGCCACCUCCGCCUGCAACUCCCCCCUCCAGCACCUGCACAGCCCGGAUCAGUUUAAGAGCCCAGGGGGAAACCCAGCUCGUCCUGGAGGCUUCCCAGGUGCCAACAGCCCAGGGCCUGUAGCCGACCUGUACGGCCCUGGAGGCCAGGACUCCAAUGUGGCUAACUACAUCAGUGCUGCUAGCCCACAGGCUGGCUCCGGCUUCGGCCACAGUAUCGCAGGCCCGUUGAUUGCGACAGCUUUUACAAAUGGAUACCAUUGAACAGGUGUUCGGUUGCCAUCUUAUUGGAGUAACCCUCUAUUUCACCUCACCAUCCUACAAACUUGUACAGCAGAGUCUAUCUGGUGGUCCAGGGAAGACAGACCAAACCUUCUAAUUGGCUCUGUGUACAGGUGAUGUCAUCCAACUUCAAGCACUACAGCAUCACCCAGGAGAAAUGGUGGAACCACAUAAAAAAAAUCAUCUCAGAAAGGAAAGAAAACUGCUGUCCCAUAAUCCAAACCUGUAACCUGACAACCUGGUUUGUUAUGACAUUUCUUGAUGAUUUCAUUCACUUUUUUUUCCUUCCUUUUAUUAGUUGUUUGAUUAGCUUUACAGAGAGGCAUUUUGGUUUGAUCCUAAUUAUUUGUGUCAUUUUUUGAUUUUCUCUUGUAGUGUAUGUAUGUAAAUGGGUAUGCUUCUCUCUUUCGGGGGUCAUAGUCGAGAAUGUACGAAGUAAUGUGUUCACAUUUGGUACCAAUUCGUUUAAUCAAAAAAGAUCAGAGCUUUAGGUGUCUUUUUGCACAUAAAAGAAAUCCAAAGUGGAAAGUCUUGGAAAAAAACAUCAAUUUCAUUUCAAAUGAAAAUUCGAGAGGGUAACUAACUAAUACAUCUUAGUAGCUGUUUUUAAUUAUUGUGAUGUCUCAUUGUUAACCAUAAGUACCUAUUUUUGGGCAAUACAAAGAGGACUCCAAUAUUUUUAUGGUCCUUUUUUACAAGUGGUGUUUUUGUUGUUUAGAAAAAAAUAUGUAUACUAUAAAACAUUUCAUAUAAAUACAUUGUGAAUUCAAAGACUUAAGAAAAAGAAAUGUAACUGUAAAUACUAUUCCAGUCAUUGCAUAUAACCAACUCGAUGAGAGAAUAGCAUAUUUUUGUGAUGGUGUGUCAAAGAAAUGUUGUAGCGCGUGAAUAGGAUAAAAAGCUCUAAACAUACACUAUUAUCCUUUACUGCUCAGAGACAGUGACUACCCCAGUGAUGGACACAACACAUUGCAACACUGAUGGCUUGCUCUGGAAAUACUCAAGCUGAAUAACUUUACAAGUGUCAAACCAGUGCAUUUACAAGUGGUGAGUUCAAGCGCAGUUUUAAAAUGGAUAAAAGAUCAUCGGAAUCUUUUGUCUAACCAAGUGUUAUUUAAGAGAUCAAUAUUAUUUGAGUGAUCAUUUAAUCCAAAGCACACUGUACUUAGUGUUGAAGAAUAGAACUUGAGCCUAAGCAUUUUAUAGUACUCUGCGCAUCCAGACACUUUUAUACUCCUGAGAGAAAACCUCAACUUGUUGUUUGUUGUUUUGUUGUUGUUGUUUGUUUCCUCCUGCUUGUUCCUCUUAAGUUUGGGACUCCAUCAGUUCUCUGUUGAAGGAAUUAGGAAGGAAAACAUUUUGAUACCGUACCUCAGCCCUGUGAGUUAUACCUUGGAAUCGUUGAGAGGUUUCGUUUAUUUUACUGGCAAAUAGAUUCAAACAUUGAAUGGGGGAAAAAAUGUAUAAAUCAUUGAACUGUGAGCAGUAAAGAAAGAACAGGCCAUUUCCUAUUUGCACAUGUAUAUGUUGGCUAUUUAAAAUGGUCCUGUCUCUGGGGUGAAGUAUGAAGGAUUAUUGGAUGUUUUUCCUCUCUAGAAUAGGCAUACACAAACAGCUUGGCAAAUAGCAAUUAACUGAUUAAUUACUACCAAUGUGUUGUGGUCAUGUCUUUGGAUUUCAUUGUAUUGUGUACGCCAACUUCUAAUCUAAAAUAUUGAUGCUAUUUUAGAUCCAGCCAAUAGAAGACACUGAAUAAAUUAUUCAUCCUGGUAACCAUAGCUGCUGCGCUAAUUCCUUACACAGUAUGUGUAGGGACAGGUUUUGCUCAAUUAUAGAGACAUUUAACGACAUGCUUUAAAGUGCAGUAAGAUUUGUAAACAUGAUGAUGGAAUGAGUGGUGUAUAUUCUGAUGUACUUUUCCUGCUGCAAAUAUGUUUGACAAUUCAUUUCACCUGAUGUUUCAUUUCAUUAGCUCUUUGGUUCAGAACAACCAGGUGAAGAAAAAUGCUGGAUGCUUUUGAAUGAUGUGGAGAUAUGAUCAAGUAAUAAUUUAAAUGAGAAAACGGAAGAGAACCAUUGUAAUGUUCAAAUGUAAAAGGAAAAAAAGAAAUACAAAACUUUUUAAAAAAAGAAAAAGAUGCUUCUUCACUGAUUUCAAUUUUGAAUCAGGGGAUUUUAUUGAUAUUUUUGUGGUUACUAAUUGUAAUAUGAUAUUAUUAAAAUGUACUGUGCAUCCAUCGAUUUCUCUCUUUCCAUUCCCUUCCCUGUCACCACAUACAAUCUUUUGUUGAUCAUCCAUGUAUUUCAAUAGUGUGUAAAAAGAAAAUCACACAAAAAAACAAACAAAAAUGAACUUGUAACAGAGUGCUGUCUUUGAUACCAGUGUAGUGGUCUAUGCUCUUCUUUGUCGUUCUCUCUUUUUCUGGCUUUUUCCUCUCCUUUCUCUGUCACAUUCUCUUCCCCUCUCUCUCGCUCUCUUACUCUCCUCUAUCUCCUUGUAAUUAGUCGUAGAUGUUAUGUAAUUAAGAUAAUACUUGUAGUUAUUAGUGGAUUUAUGACCAGUAAGGAUAGAACUUUCUCUUAUUAUCAAACGUUUGACAUAAAUUUGCAAACAGUUAUUUUAAUAGCAGUUCCAUGUCAUUUGUUCCUCGUAUGUCUUUUUUGUGUGUGUGUGUGUGUGUGUGUGUGUGUGUGUGUGUGUGUGUGUGUGUGUGUGUGUGUGUGUGUGUGUGUGUGUGUGUGUGUGUGUGUGUGUGUGUGUGUGUGUGUGUGUGUGUGUGUGUGUGUGUUUUACAGAUCUCACAUGGUUUCAACUAACCAAAGCUCUCAUAGAAGAAUUAUAGAGAAUCAAAUUGCUGUAAGAUGGAAUUUUAAACAAGGCAUUAUUUGGAUCUCCUCCCUUGAAUGUUUAAAAGGGGUGUGUCAUACUACCUUAAAUGUUAACGCUAGAUAUGCAAAAUGUUUAUUUUUGAUUACUUUUUAAGAGGGACACAAGCUAUAAUUAGGAAAAAGAUUUUAUGUGAAAGCAACAACAUAAAAAACAUUUUUUAGAAAGUUCUAACAUAUUAAUGAUGAUUACUACAAUAAUAAUAAUAAUAUUAAUAAUCAUAACACUACUAAUAAUAAUAAACUGUAAUAUCUUUUAAUGUUUUUACACUAUAUCCCAGAUGCCUGUAUGGCUCUGCUAUUUUUGGAUUACCACUCUGUUUUUGAAAUGUUUCUGCCUUUCAUUUUACUCAUAAAAACAUACUUUUUUGUGAAUACUUUUUUUAGUCCCUGAAAACCAGCGCUUUAUUCUAAUCAAAGUUAGGUAUAUGUUGUCUGUUAAUGUUGUUCUCACAGAUCUCGACAGACAUGCUUAUUACGUCACAACCUUUGGAAAGAAUUUGAAGUCAUCUAGCUUUUAGAUGCCAUUACAUACUUGGAGCAAAGAUGACACAGAAUGAAUCUUUCUAAUGAUUGUUUCAUAACUGGUGAAGGUGGUCAACACGGCAUAAACUUGAGAUACUCCUGAAGAUUGUCCUGUUGUUGAAUGUCUUCAAGCAGUAGUUCAGUUGGUCAGUAAAACUGUAAUGUCUAUAGCGGGGGGGGGGGGGUUACAAUUGGGGAUAUACAUGUAAGCUUAGAUAUUCAUGUAUUUCUCACUCGUAAUAGUUUGCAGCACUUGAAUAUAUGUAUAUAUUCCGACCUUUGUCAAGGAUUUAGUUAAUUGGACGACAGAGAAAGUCAAAUAUUAUGGGUGAAUUCAAUUAGACUUAUACAGGAGUUGAUAAUAACAUAGUAGUUCUUAGAGUAAUCAGUUCAUAGAUGUACUGUCCAUAACAACAUGUUCACAAAGAAAUGAAAUGUAUGUGGAAUUGGCAGGAUGAAAUCAGCAGUCCAGGCCCUACACAAAGGUCUUUAGCAGUUGGAUUGAAUAGAUAUGAGUAGCAUAUACUUACUAUAGCCUUUGAUACCAUUACAAUGCCUUGAGGAUCUUAGUCUAUAGUAGACACCUCCUUUGAUUAAAGUAAAGGCUGGUCAUCCCAUUUAAAUAGCUCAUUCCCCUUUGAUCUGUGUUCAAUAUUAGCUUGGACUUUAAGGUAGCAUGCCUCUGUUGCUGUCAUUGUCUUUUUCAUUGACAGCAGUUUACAGCUGAUGAAUGUUACACAUCUUACUAUACUAAAACAAAUCCAUUAGAAAAAUGUUGGUUUGAGAGAAAAAAUCUAAAAUAAUUUUAAAAAACGACCUGGAAGGUGUUGAUAUUUGUGUUUGACCGUGUUCAUUUAAACUUGAAUCUUGAGGCAAGUGCUAGGCAAUGGCCAAUCAUUUCAUGCCAUCAUCCAUGAAUCACCAUCUCCCCCAUGUUCAUUAGUCUGUGUACAGUACAUACAUGUUAUGUUAUGUGUCUGACCUGUAUAUCCCUCAUGUGAACAUGUUUGACUAGAUGAGAAUAGUGAUCCCUCUGUAUUCUAGACACAGCAAAGCCCUAUCUCCCUCGGGUUUGUAUAACUUAGUAGCCAACACUGUUUUCAUCCCUCGCUGUCAAAAGAGUCAACGUUAUGGUGAGCUAGUGUGCUCAGUUGGCAUUGCAUUGUCUUCAAAAUUCAAAAUAGACCUUGUUCAGUGGUCUGGCAUAGGUAAUACAUUAUGAAUGACUGUUAACCAAUAAGUGAAACAUCCUCUGGUAUAUUUUGGAUACUCUUAACGUGUGUGGAUCAGAGUGCACGGUUGUUAUUCCAAUCUGUAGUAACGUAUGAGGAAAAGUGAGCAGUCUUCUAUGACUCCACAGCAUAAUGAGGCUAUUGUCCUGCCACGUAACACCCACUGUUUUCCAGUGUGGAGGAGCAGCCUUCCACUGAGCUAUCCUCACUAAUUUGCUGUCUGCUCCUGAUUUGCCUUGCCCAUUCCUAACACUUGCCCAUUUUUUAACGUUAACAGACUUUUUACGGCGAGAGACUGACAGAACUGACUGACGUCUGAAAGCAUCUUUCAGGUCUUCUUGUAUGGCUUGCUCAAGCCCUAUUGUAACAUAAACUCAAAUGGAUGGGGGUCUCUCACAUCUCAGAUGUGGAAAGUAUAAUUUUAUAUUUGUAUUUUCAAAUAAUAAUAAUGAUGAACAAAAUGUUUGUCAAAGGUUUCCAUCCUCUACUAUGGUCCAGAAAUCGAUGUGUCUGUCUGGAGAAAAGAAAUAAAAAAAGAUACUGUUUUA